rnacentral:lncRNA from 1 species
GUGGGAUGUCUUUGUAUCCUUGUUGAUGACAUUUCACAUCAGACAGGGGAAAACAGGGGAUCGAUCAUCUGUGUUGUCAGUUUGAUGCUUUUCCUGUCCUAAAGACUAAAAGAAACCUAGUCUUCUAUGCAUGUGUUCGUGUUUCGAUAUGUGUAUAUCUCUAGGUUCAAAAUUCCUGUCUAGUCAACAACAACGCAAGUUGGUAUAGAACCCUUUUCGUUUUUUAAAGCUUCUCCUUCCAUCGAAUGAACGCCUUCGACUGUCUGGGAAAAAAAACGUUGAACGAUUUUGGUAGGGAGAGAUCCGUUCACUUGUUUCAAAAUCAAUCCAUUUAUUAUAGCUUUCACAUCCAAUGCAGCCUUUUGAUUUGGUGAUCUUGAAGAACAAACGGUAACAAAAUCUGUUCUAUCUGGACCAUAUUCUGUUUUUUCCUUAAAGAUAACAAAACUCAGUUACCGCCUUGUCUCAGAACAUCAGCUCAUCAUCUUUCCUUCUCUUUGUCAAUGGCAACAUGUGGCCCCUAAUAACACAUGUCAAUGUCCAAUUUGGUCCCUGAAACCUUGUCUGUGAAAACAUGAGGUCCCCCUGUUUUUUAUAUUCCAAUAAACACCACCUGGCCCCUCCUUCCGUUAGUGGUCGGUGGUUGAGUUAGGCCUGUCUUUUGCCUCCAGUCCACAAACCAUAACAGCAAACCAAGUACUUGGAAAUGGAGUCGUGAACGAAAAACAAUCUGGACCCUUUUCUCUUAUCCUAAUCAAUUACACUUCCCUCCUCCUGUCCCCUGUGUUUCCUUAUCUCGAGCUUUGAAACUAAUAAUUCCAGGUACAUUGUUUGAAAGUUGUAUGCAUUAGGAG